GGGUUUUGCCUUUAUAAGCCCCUGACUAAUGUAAUUUGGGGCCAUUCUCUGAGCUUGAGUCUCAGGAAUGGUCUUGGCCAGUAUAUUUUUAAAAAUGUAUUUAUUUAUAAUAUAUACAGCAUUCUGCCUGCAUGUAUGCCUGCAAGCCAGAAGACUUCAUUAUAGAUAGUUAUGAGCCAACAUGUGGUUGCUGGGAAUUGAAAUCAGGACGUCUGGAGAAAUAGCCAGUGCUCUUAACCUCUGAGCCAUCUCUCCAACUCCCUGAGUCGCAUCUCUCUGACGGAAGGAUGCUGGGAUGCUGUGAGCCCGCUGUGGUCAGCUUACAGAAGCUGCCAUUGGGCUGAAGGUCUCACAGCCUCUGGGGAAUCACGUUUUAGCUUCUGAGGCAGAACAAAUUAUGGCAGCUCCAGCCAGAAGCCCUGGCGUCGCUCCUCCACAUGAUGAAGGAAAGGUUUCAGGUCCUGGGAGCCCACCGGGGAGUUUCUCGGGGAGGACUACAGCCUCACCGCCCACCCAGACACAAACAAACUGCACCCCCCCCCCUUGAGCCGGGGUUUUCUCCUGUGAGAUGACCAGGAUGCAAAGGCCAACUUGCACUAUAACCAUGGAGACCAAGGAGAAUUUUGAACUUGAAAGCUAUUGAUUUGAGCAGGGGCUUAUUAAGAAUCCUGUGGGAAUCAGGCAGGCCCCUAGGAAGGCUAUUGGGGGAAUGAAGAUGUCCUGCUCACCAGAAGGUUUCUGUUCUCCUGAAACUCCACUGGAGUGGAACCUCAGUGCCUACAGGCCAGGCAAAGGACCUGCCCCACCAGCCAUGGACCAAAGGGGCCUGUCUUAGGGACUUUUGUAUUGUGGUGAUAAGACACCAUGACCAAGGCAACUUAUGGGAGUAAGAGUUUAUUUGGGGCUCACAGUUCCAGAGAGUGAGUUCACGACCAUCAUGAUGGGGAACAUGGCAGUUGAUAAGCAGGCACUGGAGCAACAGCCACGAGGUCACAUCUUGAUCCACAAGCAUCAGACAGGGAGAGUUAACUGGGAGUGGUGUGGGCUUUUGGAACCUCAAAGCCUGCCCUCAGUGACACACCUCCUUCAACAAGAAUCACACAUCCUAAUCCUUCCUAAACAGUGCUGCCAACUGGGGUCCAAGCAUCCCAACAUACGAGCCUUCAAACCAGCACAGGGCCCAUUUCCAGAGACCUAUCUGUCCUGUAAUGGAUUCAGUAAUCAGGCCCUGCUGGAGUUACCAAGAAGCUAUCUCAAACCAAUGAGGAAAGCAAAGCUUAUGCUGGCUCAUCCAUCCAUCCAUCAUGCCUGCCUGUGAAACAAUGAGGGCUACCAGUCCAGUUUCACCCAUGAAGCAAGCUGUGCCCAGAAAGGUUGAGCCCCUUGCCACAGUCUCCAGGAGUCUCGAGGUCUAUCACAGGAAAAGUGGUUCUCAAGAGGCUGGAGCCACAGCUUAGUGGUAGAGCAUAUGCUUAACAUGCACAAACACCGUUCCAUCCUCAGCAUGACCACAACGAAAAGCCUUCUCUCAGCCAGGUGUGGCAGUGUGUGCCUGUAAUCCACUGCCAGGGAGGAGACAGGCCAGCCAGCCUAGCCUUGACAGUGAGCGUCAGGUGUAAUGAAGUACUGAACCCACUGCUAAGGACAUAUGGUGUACCCUUAGAUCAGUGAAUCUCUGGCCCUCAUCUUUUGCAGCAAAUGGCAAUUAACACAGAGACCCAGGACUGGCUAAGGGGUAGAGAGUAGAAGAACAUGGAGUGCUGAGCCCUAACUGGAUUAUCUGUAUCACAACAUGUCCUUUCAAGGCUCACACAUUAUUUCAGAAGAGGGAGUAGAAAGCUUGUAAGAGCCGGAGGCGCUGGGUGACCACAGGGAGAGAGCGUUUUCUGCACAUCACAGGGCAGGUGCACGUAUGAACUCAUGUGGUUGUGACAGCAUACAAGAGACCUGCUCACACUCAGCAAAACCCCAGCUUGGAGAUGGAGACAAGCCUUAGCAGAGCAGCCCUGGCAAUUGAUGGCAGCCAGGAGAGGGGCAGUCGGCUUUAAGGGUGUGACCCCUGGUGAGGGGGAUGACACUGUAGGAGGUGGCCCCACCCAAGGGUAUUUGGGCAGCACAAAUCAGAAUUUUAAAAUUUAAAAAGAGGGCACAUAGUUGAGUGGAUCUGGGAGGAGUCAGGGGAGGGGAGGUAAAUAUGAUCAGAAUACAUCACAAGAACGUCACAAAGAAUAAACACAGUUCCGAACUGG
ensembl:antisense Rab11fip4os1 RAB11 family interacting protein 4 (class II), opposite strand 1